AGUGCAAUCUCGACCUUUGACCUCAGCCCAAAACAAAAAAUUUAAUUUCUGGAGAAAGGCUAACGAUCUGAGAGAUUACCCCUACCAAACAAUGGCAGCUCAAUCCUUGGUCCCCCACAUCCACCCAAGCCCAGCUUACCACAGGGACUUCUUCCUACUACAAAUUCCCAUCAAGAUCGAAAACCAACCAAGUGUCAUCAAAAUAGUUGAUGCCAUUCCUGUGCUACACUGCCCUGUGGUGGAACUCUCAGUGCAACUGGUCGUACUAGCUCAGCAUGUCUCCACUGUGCUAGCUGAUUACCAUAUCACGCUAAAAGGAGCCUAUUACGAUGACAACUAUCCACUCUAUGCCAUUGAUCUACCUCCUUCAAUCUCCUAUGAAGGAAUGCAAUCUCUUUUGCCUGCUUUCUCAAAUGUUUGCUGUAGCAUUACUGAGUAUUUUUCAAGAGUUCCUUGCAAGACUGAAGUGCACGUGGUAGUUAAGUUUCAGCUUUUUCUCUGCUCUCCUGCAAAGGACAGCUUUACAACUUUCAAACUCACCUCAAUUCAGCUUGGACAAGAAUCAGAUGAGAUUCUUUUGACCUUUUUAGACAGCAAUAUGUUUAAAUUCUCUGAGCUCCUUUCAUCCUCUAAAGCUGCUGCUGUAUCAUUUGUAUCACUCCUCCGAGCACUGAGUGGAAAGACCAGUCACAAGUGGUUCAAUCUUGGAGCCUUGCUUGGAGUACCCGCUGAGAAAUUGCAGACAAUUGAGAAGCAAUACCAGAAUCCAGAGUCUUGCUUGACACACACGCUCAAGAAUGUGGUGGACAGUAACACCGAGCUUACGUGGGAAGAGGUGGUCUCAACGCUUUCUACUAUUGGGCUGAGCAUUCUGGCAGAGGAAGUCAGUAAGGAACAUGGUGUAUGCUUCCUGAGGGCUGCUGAAAACGAACCUUCGACUAAACCCACUCUCCAAUCGUUGAGCCAAUCUUUAGCUGAUGUCAGUGCCAAGUGGUUCAACCUUGGUGCUCUUUUAGGAGUCCCCCCCAGUACACUACAAGCAAUUGACAACCACUACCACUCUGACUGUGAUGACUGCCUCACUAGAAUGCUUAUGUGGCUGAUUGAAAACUCACGCAUCACAUGGUCCUCAGUAGCACAAGCUCUGGGCCAGAUUGGAUAUAGAGAUCUAGCGGAACAAAUCAGACAAUCUCAUGAUAUCUCACCAAUACCAUAGAUAGUAAAGGGGAGGGAUUGGAAACACAUGGAUUUCGCGCGGCCCAUGCGUGUCGCACCGGAAAUUGACAGGAAGUACAGCUUGAUGCUUUUUUAUUGGAAAUCUUUGCAAGAGAAUGGCUACUACUUUGCAUACGAGUAUGAGUGUCUCUCCGUCUGUUUCUCUUGUUCUGUCUGCUGUUCAAAGAGUUGUUAAUGAUGACAUGUUCACCAAAGUCUCCAGUCAGAAGUCAAGAAAAAAAUUAAAGAAAUCUGCUAAUCUGCUCAAAGAAGAACUACAACUUUGUAUCUGGGACCUCCUUGAUGAUGAAAAAGAAGGUGGCACAGCAAAUGAUUGGGUUGAUGCCAUUGAUCGUAGGGGAUUGACCCGUGUAAAUGAAAUGACAUUUCAGGUAUUUCUUGCCAUGGAAUUGGAGUUACGAAAGCAUUUAACAGUAAAACGAUGUUUUGAUCUGGAGCAGAUAUGCAAGUUUGUUGUAGGUAAUGACGACGUUUUGUUUAUUGGUCGAUUGUGGGAGGAGAUUGGGAACAAGAAGAGAGCCAACAAUUACUAAAACUAGUUGCUGAUUUAUAUAUCACAAUAAGAGGUUUCUCUUUUGCAAGUGUUUGGGUAGAGAAUUACAAGUCUUCAACGAAAACAAGCCUUCAAAAGAGCAAGGCACUGAGGAAGAAACUGAACUCUACAUGAACGUAUAAUUUUAGUAUAAUUAUAGUAAGUAUAAUAAUUAUAUCCUGUACAUGUAUACUGGCUAUAAUAAUUAUUAUAAUUGUCAACCCUUAUAACAUGAAAAUUUAAUGUUGGGAAAACAGCUGCAUGCAUCGCAUG